AAAACAUAAUGAGAGUGAAUGUACAAUGGAAUGAGGUGGAAAUCCUCAACGGUCCGUUAUCCACAGUAAAUAGCACAUCGCUAAAGUCUGGUCUUUUGUCCAUUCACUAAGUACAUAGGAAGAUACGCGGUUCCUUUGCUU
rnacentral:sRNA from 1 species